UGGCUGUGCUUCCGGUUCCUCGGGAUUGGGC
rnacentral:piRNA from 1 species